AAUCCACUCAUUAUGCUGCUACGGGCCUGAUGACAUAGAUUUCAUUGCUGAGGGAUAUUGCAUUGUACUUAGAAUCAUCAUACCUGAAUCCACUCAUUAUGCUGCUACGGGCCUGAUGACAUAGAUUUCAUUGCUGAGGGAUAUUGCAUUGUACUUAGAAUCAUCAUACCUGAAUCCACUCAUUAUGCUGCUACGGGCCUGAUGACAUAGAUUUCAUUGCUGAGG